rnacentral:rRNA from 10 species
AAAUUGAAGAGUUUGAUCAUGGCUCAGAUUGAACGCUGGCGGCAGGCCUAACACAUGCAAGUCGAACGGUAACAGGAAGCAGCUUGCUGCUUCGCUGACGAGUGGCGGACGGGUGAGUAAUGUCUGGGAAACUGCCUGAUGGAGGGGGAUAACUACUGGAAACGGUGGCUAAUACCGCAUAACGUCGCAAGACCAAAGAGGGGGACCUUCGGGCCUCUUGCCAUCAGAUGUGCCCAGAUGGGAUUAGCUUGUUGGUGAGGUAACGGCUCACCAAGGCGACGAUCCCUAGCUGGUCUGAGAGGAUGACCAGCCACACUGGAACUGAGACACGGUCCAGACUCCUACGGGAGGCAGCAGUGGGGAAUAUUGCACAAUGGGCGCAAGCCUGAUGCAGCCAUGCCGCGUGUAUGAAGAAGGCCUUCGGGUUGUAAAGUACUUUCAGCGGGGAGGAAGGUGUUGUGGUUAAUAACCGCAGCAAUUGACGUUACCC